AAACAACUCUCAGCAACGGAUAUCUUGGCUCUUGC
rnacentral:rRNA from 1 species